rfam:Deinococcus hopiensis KR-140 genome assembly, contig: Deiho_Contig198.1
GGAGAGGUGGGUGAGUGGCUGAAACCGCACCCCUGCUAAGGGUGUAUACCGCAAGGUAUCGAGGGUUCGAAUCCCUCCCUCUUCG